rnacentral:rRNA from 1 species
GGGUUGUGAGGUUAAGCGACUAAGCGUACACGGUGGAUGCCCUGGCAGUCAGAGGCGAUGAAGGACGUGCUAAUCUGCGAUAAGCGUCGGUAAGGUGAUAUGAACCGUUAUAACCGGCGAUUUCCGAAUGGGGAAACCCAGUGUGUUUCGACACACUAUCAUUAACUGAAUCCAUAGGUUAAUGAGGCGAACCGGGGGAACUGAAACAUCUAAGUACCCCGAGGAAAAGAAAUCAACCGAGAUUCCCCCAGUAGCGGCGAGCGAACGGGGAGCAGCCCAGAGCCUGAAUCAGUGUGUGUGUUAGUGGAAGCGUCUGGAAAGGCGCGCGAUACAGGGUGACAGCCCCGUACACAAAAAUGCACAUGCUGUGAGCUCGAUGAGUAGGGCGGGACACGUGGUAUCCUGUCUGAAUAUGGGGGGACCAUCCUCCAAGGCUAAAUACUCCUGACUGACCGAUAGUGAACCAGUACCGUGAGGGAAAGGCGAAAAGAACCCCGGCGAGGGGAGUGAAAAAGAACCUGAAACCGUGUACGUACAAGCAGUGGGAGCACGCUUAGGCGUGUGACUGCGUACCUUUUGUAUAAUGGGUCAGCGACUUAUAUUCUGUAGCAAGGUUAACCGAAUAGGGGAGCCGAAGGGAAACCGAGUCUUAACUGGGCGUUAAGUUGCAGGGUAUAGACCCGAAACCCGGUGAUCUAGCCAUGGGCAGGUUGAAGGUUGGGUAACACUAACUGGAGGACCGAACCGACUAAUGUUGAAAAAUUAGCGGAUGACUUGUGGCUGGGGGUGAAAGGCCAAUCAAACCGGGAGAUAGCUGGUUCUCCCCGAAAGCUAUUUAGGUAGCGCCUCGUGAAUUCAUCUCCGGGGGUAGAGCACUGUUUCGGCAAGGGGGUCAUCCCGACUUACCAACCCGAUGCAAACUACGAAUACCGGAGAAUGUUAUCACGGGAGACACACGGCGGGUGCUAACGUCCGUCGUGAAGAGGGAAACAACCCAGACCGCCAGCUAAGGUCCCAAAGUCAUGGUUAAGUGGGAAACGAUGUGGGAAGGCCCAGACAGCCAGGAUGUUGGCUUAGAAGCAGCCAUCAUUUAAAGAAAGCGUAAUAGCUCACUGGUCGAGUCGGCCUGCGCGGAAGAUGUAACGGGGCUAAACCAUGCACCGAAGCUGCGGCAGCGACGCUGAUGCGUUGUUGGGUAGGGGAGCGUUCUGUAAGCCUGCGAAGGUGUGCUGUGAGGCAUGCUGGAGGUAUCAGAAGUGCGAAUGCUGACAUAAGUAACGAUAAAGCGGGUGAAAAGCCCGCUCGCCGGAAGACCAAGGGUUCCUGUCCAACGUUAAUCGGGGCAGGGUGAGUCGACCCCUAAGGCGAGGCCGAAAGGCGUAGUCGAUGGGAAACAGGUUAAUAUUCCUGUACUUGGUGUUACUGCGAAGGGGGGACGGAGAAGGCUAUGUUGGCCGGGCGACGGUUGUCCCGGUUUAAGCGUGUAGGCUGGUUUUCCAGGCAAAUCCGGAAAAUCAAGGCUGAGGCGUGAUGACGAGGCACUACGGUGCUGAAGCAACAAAUGCCCUGCUUCCAGGAAAAGCCUCUAAGCAUCAGGUAACAUCAAAUCGUACCCCAAACCGACACAGGUGGUCAGGUAGAGAAUACCAAGGCGCUUGAGAGAACUCGGGUGAAGGAACUAGGCAAAAUGGUGCCGUAACUUCGGGAGAAGGCACGCUGAUAUGUAGGUGAAGUCCCUCGCGGAUGGAGCUGAAAUCAGUCGAAGAUACCAGCUGGCUGCAACUGUUUAUUAAAAACACAGCACUGUGCAAACACGAAAGUGGACGUAUACGGUGUGACGCCUGCCCGGUGCCGGAAGGUUAAUUGAUGGGGUUAGCGCAAGCGAAGCUCUUGAUCGAAGCCCCGGUAAACGGCGGCCGUAACUAUAACGGUCCUAAGGUAGCGAAAUUCCUUGUCGGGUAAGUUCCGACCUGCACGAAUGGCGUAAUGAUGGCCAGGCUGUCUCCACCCGAGACUCAGUGAAAUUGAACUCGCUGUGAAGAUGCAGUGUACCCGCGGCAAGACGGAAAGACCCCGUGAACCUUUACUAUAGCUUGACACUGAACAUUGAGCCUUGAUGUGUAGGAUAGGUGGGAGGCUUUGAAGUGUGGACGCCAGUCUGCAUGGAGCCGACCUUGAAAUACCACCCUUUAAUGUUUGAUGUUCUAACGUGGACCCGUAAUCCGGGUUGCGGACAGUGUCUGGUGGGUAGUUUGACUGGGGCGGUCUCCUCCUAAAGAGUAACGGAGGAGCACGAAGGUUGGCUAAUCCUGGUCGGACAUCAGGAGGUUAGUGCAAUGGCAUAAGCCAGCUUGACUGCGAGCGUGACGGCGCGAGCAGGUGCGAAAGCAGGUCAUAGUGAUCCGGUGGUUCUGAAUGGAAGGGCCAUCGCUCAACGGAUAAAAGGUACUCCGGGGAUAACAGGCUGAUACCGCCCAAGAGUUCAUAUCGACGGCGGUGUUUGGCACCUCGAUGUCGGCUCAUCACAUCCUGGGGCUGAAGUAGGUCCCAAGGGUAUGGCUGUUCGCCAUUUAAAGUGGUACGCGAGCUGGGUUUAGAACGUCGUGAGACAGUUCGGUCCCUAUCUGCCGUGGGCGCUGGAGAACUGAGGGGGGCUGCUCCUAGUACGAGAGGACCGGAGUGGACGCAUCACUGGUGUUCGGGUUGUCAUGCCAAUGGCACUGCCCGGUAGCUAAAUGCGGAAGAGAUAAGUGCUGAAAGCAUCUAAGCACGAAACUUGCCCCGAGAUGAGUUCUCCCUGACUCCUUGAGAGUCCUGAAGGAACGUUGAAGACGACGACGUUGAUAGGCCGGGUGUGUAAGCGCAGCGAUGCGUUGAGCUAACCGGUACUAAUGAACCGUGAGGCUUAACCUUACAACGCCGAAGCUGUU